ACCAGAGCAACAUACGUUUUUUUUUUUUAAUGUCCACUUUUAUUCUUUCCAAGGGGCUACAGCGCCCCCUGCGUUUGAAAGCUGUAAUAACAGCGGCUUGGGCGUGCGCACACCAAGCCAGCUGUAGGACGGGGUGCAGGCGAGAUGAGAAUACUAAACAGGCGCCUCAUGGCUCAGCAUCAGCACCGGGCUGAGUUCAGAUUUGCGCACCCAUCAAACUUGGCUUGGGACCUCAGCAUGUGAACGGGCUUUGCAGGAGGAGGAUCCACCUAGAAUGUCAGCUCUGAAAAAGGUGUUGCCAGGCAUACUGCAGAAGCAUUGCUGUAUCUUACCAGACAGGAACGCAGGUGUGAAGAGGUUGCUGAUGAAAUUGAAGAGCAGGGAGAUAUACUCAGGUACCUGGCCGCAGCUUUCACAAUAAUGACUUUUCUUCUACCUCUGUGUGCGUUUUUUCCUUCGACUGCACCGAGACUGCAUGCACAUGCAUCCCACUAACAAAAGCUCAUUAGUGCUACUCUCAUGUGAAUUUAUCAGCGCCGUGGACAUUUUGACACGUUAACAUCAACUCCCUCUGCUGUUGUGCACUUUGUAUCUUCUGUUUGUCUGACACAUGGCUCGAAAGCUACCUGCCCGACUUUUCAAGGUGGGACCAGAGAUGGGCAGUAACACGUUACUGUAAUCCGAUUACUUCGAGUAACGAGUAA